AUGCACCGCGCCGACACUUCGGUUGUGAGUGCGCCGUCCACAUCCAGCUGACGACUGCUCGCCACCGUCUGUUAGCC
rnacentral:sRNA from 1 species